rnacentral:tRNA from 1 species
UUAGCAUAGUUUAACAAAAACAUUAGGAUGUGGCCCUAAAAACAGAAGAUUGUCCCUUCUUGCAAAC